UACCUCAUGACGAUGACAAUAACUGGAAGCGGAAUUACAACCGUUAGGUACAUUUUAUAAUGCAAACAUGUGUGUCACCGGAACGUAGAUCAGCCUAUAAAAUAAGAUGCAGCAUCCUUCGAAGAUUAAACCGGGUCAAACGCUUAAGCCUAACAUUUUGAAAUUAAACAAUGGCUCCGAUAAGAAUACUUUUCAGUUUGUUAUUCUUGUUGUUUGCACUUUUUGUUCAAUCUCAGCCGAUAGAUUCCGAGUUAAUGGAAACAGCUGAAUCGCAGAAUCCGUUUCUGCCGCGUUUUGCAAUGAAAAAGCUAAAGGAGAGACGGGAGAGAGUUCGGGCUCAAAGAAGGAAUUAUCAGAAUCAAAGGAGCUUCCAGCCUUAUUACAACCCAAGGUGGUCUCAAGCAUACCCAUAUUAUUAUUAAAAAUGAAGACGCACAUAAUUAUAAUCCUAGUUUUUGGACUCUCUGCAUACGCGAAAACCAUAGCUGAGGUGAUCGCAGAAACGGAAAAUGGAGCACAGACUACAGACAGUUUCAACGACCCACAGACAACAGAGAAUAGUUUUGUGACAUCGGAACCAGAAAUUGAUUUAAAUUUAAAAAACGUUGAUGCUAGUAUGGAAAUCGUAAUUGAAGAGAACGUAAAAACGCCGUAUAAUUUACUUAAUGAAGCUGAGACCGACUUCGAUUUGGGCGAGGUAUCACCCAAUGAUGGUGACUU